CUUAUCUUUACACCUAGGAAAAGAAAAAGCAGCAAUCCAAGAGAGCUGAACACCCUCCUGAGAAAGGGGAAGAAACAAAUCUCCAGUGGGCGUGUAACCAAAGGAGAGAGACAUUUAAAUUAUUUCCUGCAGCUGAAAACCGGUGAAGGUCAAAUGGGGGAAAACAAUCUUGCAAGAACAAUAUUUGUUAACAAAAUCAUACCAUAUAAAAAAUCAGUGAGCCAAAGUUGGUUCAUCCCAGAAGCAACAUAUCCAUGGAGCAACAAGCUUCUGCCUUGCUCCUGGGCGUCUGAAUUCCAAGCUCCUGGCUCAUGCCCUCUGAGUGUUGCCAGAUGUUGCUGUGAUUUUGCCUUGGAGACUGGACAGAGGACUGCACCCACUUGAAUCAAGUUUGAACAAGUUGUUUGGCAGCAGAGAAAGUGUCCACUUGAUUUUUUUUUUAAAUGCACCAUGGAAGAGGGUGGAGGAUGCGAGAUAUAGUGAGCAACACUCCCCCAUUCCAGUAGCCUCCUCCCUCUGAUUGUACCCAAGGCAUAUGGAUGGUGUUACACCCUGUUGCUUCAUCUACAGGUUUCCCUCCUUUACAACCGGUUGGUUCAGGCCGGAACUCACUCUAGCAUUAGCUUUCUGGGCCAUGCUUUGAAACCUCCACCUCCAGCUGUUAUAGAUGAUGAAG